rnacentral:rRNA from 1 species
UAACUGAAGAGUUUGAUCAUGGCUCAGAUUGAACGCUGGCGGCAGGCCUAACACAUGCAAGUCGAGCGGAUGAGAGGAGCUUGCUCCUCGAUUCAGCGGCGGACGGGUGAGUAAUGCCUAGGAAUCUGCCUAGUAGUGGGGGACAACGUUUCGAAAGGAACGCUAAUACCGCAUACGUCCUACGGGAGAAAGUGGGGGAUCUUCGGACCUCACGCU